AUACUCUGGUUCCUCCUUUAUAAUGAAUAAAUCUUUCCCCUUUGGAUAAGGAUUUACGUGGAGAGGAAAACCAUGAGUUUUCAAUAAUUUUGUUUUGAGGUUCUGCCCUUGGCAGGGCU